rnacentral:rRNA from 1 species
CGGACGGGUGAGCAAUGCCUAGGAAUCUGCCUGGUAGUGGGGGACGAACGUUUCGAAAGGAACGCUAAUACCGCAUACGUCCUACGGGAGAAAGCAGGGACCUUCGGGCCUUGCGCUAUCAGAUGAGCCUAGGUCGGAUUAGCUAGUUGGUGAGGUAAUGGCUCACCAAGGCGACGAUCCGUAACUGGUCUGAGAGGAUGAUCAGUCACACUGGAACUGAGGCACGGUCCAGACUCCUACGGGAGGCAGCAGAG